rnacentral:rRNA from 1 species
GCAAAUCCCUAAAAGCCAUCUCAGUUCGGAUUGCAGGCUGCAACUCGCCUGCAUGAAGCUGGAAUUGCUAGUAAUCGCGGAUCAGCAAGCCGCGGUGAAUACGUUCCCGGGCCUUGUACACACCGCCCGUCACACCAUGGGAGUUUGUAACGCCCAAAGUCGGUGGCCUAACCUUCAUGGAGGGAGCCGCCUAAGGCGGGACAGAUGACUGGGGUGAAGUCGUAACAAGGUAAC